GGCGAGUAGCGCAGCUUGGUAGCGCAACUGGUUUGGGACCAGUGGGUCGGAGGUUCGAAU
rnacentral:tRNA from 1 species